UUCAAAAACUUAAAGAAAUGCACACUUUCUCUAGACAGCCGGAUCAAAAUGCUGCAAACGAUUUUCCAACUUCCGCAUUUUCUCAUUGUAGGCUUGGUCCUUAGCACGUUGCUCUUGCCUUCUCUCCCUAGCAAUAAACCUGGCAUCCUUGCGGAGAGUGCGGAUAGCUCCUUUCUUGGCAUCGCGGUGUUGAGCACGCAACUUGUUGAGUUGAGCCCUUUCGGGAUCAAUAUCAUGGGAGCUUUUGUCAAGAGAAUAACCUUCCUCAAACUUAGGAACUUGACUAGUAAUUCCUAAAGGACGAUGAGAUUGUAAAGCCAAUGGUUUACGGUUUGCUUUAGCUGAUUCAAUAGA